GUGCCAGCCGCCGCGGUAAAACGUAGGACACGAGCGUUAUCCGGAGUUACUGGGCGUAAAGGGCGUGCAGGCGGUCUUGUAAGUCAGGCGAGAAAGGCCCCGGCUCAACCGGGGACAGACGCUUGAGACUGGAAGACUAGAGGAUGGUAGAGGCGUGUAGAAUUCCGGGUGUAGUGGUGAAAUGCGUAGAUAUCCGGAGGAAUACCAGUGGCGAAGGCGGCACGCUGGGCCAUAACUGACGCUAAGACGCGAAAGCAUGGGUAGCGAACGGGAUUAGAAACCCCUGUAGUCC
rnacentral:rRNA from 1 species